UGGUAUCCGAAAGCAGAAGUGAUCUGUCUGAAUAUCUCUGCUGCUAGGCCCUGCUGAUUGCUCCCCACUGUGGCACUCAGUGAGUGGCACAGAAAUGAACUAAAACUGAAAUGUAAGAAAAUUUAAUUUCAGCUGAGGAUUUGCCUUUUUGAAAAGGAUGAAUGCAUUGUGAGUAGCCAUUUGCAUUAAAUAAAUGCCCACUUUCUUAAACCAGGCCCUGGUCUUUCUUAUUAUCAUAUGUGUCUGCAGCAGUUGAUCAGACAGGUCAUAUUCCCCGAUGUGUGUAUUGUAUUGCUUAAUGCAGACAGGCAUCCGUCUUGUAUCCUUUCGGCCAUGAACUGCGACCCUGCGCGUGUGUUUACUGUGCAUGGUCGUCAGGGUGAACACCUCCUUUUUGUCUCUGUAUUUCAGAGCCAGCAGUUUGUCCUGGCAGAGAGCAGCUGUUUCACC